CUACGGGGGGCUCCAGUGGGGAAUCUUAGACAAUGGGCGCAAGCCUGAUCUAGCCAUGCCGCGUGAGUGACGAAGGCCUUAGGGUCGUAAAGCUCUUUCGCUGGGGAAGAUAAUGACGGUACCCAGUAAAGAAACCCCGGCUAACUCCGUGCCAGCAGCCGCGGUAAUACGGAGGGGGUUAGCGUUGUUCGGAAUUACUGGGCGUAAAGCGCGCGUAGGCGGAUCAGAAAGUUGGGGGUGAAAUCCCGGGGCUCAACCCCGGAACUGCCUUCAAAACUCCUGGUCUUGAGUUCGAGAGAGGUGAGUGGAAUUCCGAGUGUAGGGGUGAAAUUCGUAGAUAUUCGGAGGAACACCAGUGGCGAAGGCGGCUCACUGGCUCGAUACUGACGCUGAGGUGCGAAAGCGUGGGGAGCAAACAGGAUUAGAUACCCGAGUAGUC
rnacentral:rRNA from 1 species